GAGCGGCGAACGGGUGAGUAACACAUCGGAACGUACCCCGUCGUGGGGGAUAACGAGUCGAAAGAUUCGCUAAUACCGCAUACGACCUGAGGGUGAAAGCGGGGGACCUGCGAGGGCCUCGCGCGAUGGGAGCGGCCGAUGUCCGAUUAGCUAGUUGGUGGGGUAAGAGCCUACCAAGGCGACGAUCGGUAGCUGGUCUGAGAGGAUGAUCAGCCACACUGGGACUGAGACACGGCCCAGACUCCUACGGGAGGCAGCAGUGGGGAAUUUUGGACAAUGGGCGCAAGCCUGAUCCAGCCAUUCCGCGUGAGUGAAGAAGGCCCUCGGGUUGUAAAGCUCUUUCGGCCGGGAAGAAAUCGGGCAGGUGAAUAAUCUGCCUGGAUGACGGUACCGGAAGAAGAAGCACCGGCUAACUACGUGCCAGCAGCCGCGGUAAUACGUAGGGUGCGAGCGUUAAUCGGAAUUACUGGGCGUAAAGCGUGCGCAGGCGGCUUUGUAAGACAGGUGUGAAAUCCCCGGGCUUAACCUGGGAAUGGCGCUUGUGACUGCAAGGCUUGAGUUCGGCAGAGGGGGGUGGAAUUCCACGUGUAGCAGUGAAAUGCGUAGAGAUGUGGAGGAACACCGAUGGCGAAGGCAGCCCCCUGGGUCGCGACUGACGCUCAUGCACGAAAGCGUGGGGAGCAACAGGAUUAGAUACCCUGGUAGUCCACGCCCUAAACGAUGUCGACUAGGUGUUGGGGAAGGAGACUUCUUUAGUACCGUAGCUAACGCGUGAAGUCGACCGCCUGGGGAGUACGGUCGCAAGAUUAAAACUCAAAGGAAUUGACGGGGACCCGCACAAGCGGUGGAUGAUGUGGAUUAAUUCGAUGCAACGCGAAAAACCUUACCUACCCUUGACAUGCCAGGAACCUUGCUGAGAGGUGAGGGAGCCCGAAAGGGAGCCUGGACACAGGUGCUGCAUGGCUGUCGUCAGCUCGUGUCGUGAGAUGUUGGGUUAAGUCCCGCAACGAGCGCAACCCUUGUCGCUAAUUGCCAUCAUUCAGUUGGGCACUUUAGCGAGACUGCCGGUGACAAACCGGAGGAAGGUGGGGAUGACGUCAAGUCCUCAUGGCCCUUAUGGGUAGGGCUUCACACGUCAUACAAUGGUCGGUACAGAGGGCUGCUAACCCGCGAGGGGGCGCUAAUCUCGCAAAGCCGAUCGUAGUCCGGAUUGCAGUCUGCAACUCGACUGCAUGAAGUCGGAAUCGCUAGUAAUCGUGGAUCAGCAUGUCACGGUGAAUACGUUCCCGGG
rnacentral:rRNA from 1 species